AGGGCUACUUUGCAGUUUAUGUUGGAGAAAACCAGAAGAGGUUUGUGAUACCAGUGUCGUUCUUGAGCCAGCCUUUAUUUCAAGAUUUGCUAGGCAAGUCAGAAGAAGAGUUCGGAUAUAGUCAUCCUACCGGCGGCCUCACAAUUCCCUGCGAUGAAGAUAUUUUUCUUGAUGUUACCUCUCGCUUGAAUCAAUUGUGAGAGAAUCAACACAAAUCUGCCUAUACAAUUUUGUAAAGCAAAAAUGUCUAACACCAUGUAAACAUUUUUUCUCCAUCUUUUUUGCCUUGGGGAGCAAAUACAAGUCUCCCUGAGUGAAAAAUUACAGAUGGUUGUUACUGUAACUUCUAUCAAUCAGCAUGGAAAAUGACAGUUCAAAACACAUCAUUCAAUUGGAAUUUUAUUUACUUCCAGAAUUUCCUAUCAUUAAUUUAACUAUAAAUGAUCUACCUUGUUCUAAAUUUACUUUAAUAUACAUGCUAAGUUAUUCGGACUCUUCGUUUGCUUUAGAAUACAUGCAUCCAACACAUAAUCAAACAUGAGUACAAAAUAGCAUGAUUCUCCAAGUAUAUGAAAAAACUUAUAUCCCCUUAUUGCAAUCUUUUAGCCAAAGAGUUAAUAGCUUUGUUUCUUUUUCAAGUAGGAAUUAGUCUUUAUAUAUAAUAAUUAACAGUACAUGACUUAGUAAAAUUUUUUUUGAAGGUAAAACAUAUAAAAUGACUUUUUUUUAUUAGACAUAAAAUACAUAUAAAAAACCAUACAAAAUUGCUUAAAUGUAAAGAUGUAAAUGAAAGAGGAUAACCUUUGUGACAAAAAAGAAAACUAAAAUGAAGUUAUUUAAAUGAAAUAGGGACUUGAACAUAACUGUGAAAAAUAUAACAUGACCUAAAAUGAAAUUAACCCAAUAUCAAACUUUGAAUAUUAACUCAGAUUUUAAUGGCCUUCUUUUCUUUUCUUUCUUUCUUUCAUGGUUUUUUUUUUUUACCAAGUCAUGUACAAAUAAUGAAUAGUCAAAAUAUGCAGACAACACUCAACAAACAUGCCAUCAAACAAGUUGACCAAAACCAGAUUCAUCUGUAAGGUUAUCCAAAUAUAUAUAUAUAUAGCAGCACAUACCAGAAAUUUUGUGAGCUGUCAAGCUAAGUUUUGGCUUCACCCCUAUGGAACUGUUUGAUUGCAGCACGGCAUAGACAAGAACAAGGAUAAAAUGCAACCAAUUGGGUUCUGGUGAGGACUAGUUGCAGCCUGUAGGACACACUUCAGGUGCUCUUUACAAGGGUUUGUCUUACAGAUCUACACCUUACUAAAAAUCAACAUGCUUGGUGAAGUCAGAAUGUAAGAGG
rnacentral:lncRNA from 1 species